UCGUCCGCUUGUGCUUUGUUCAGUUAUUCAUAAUAAACCAUGUAUAUAAAUUAUAAGGUGCUUUUAAUGACAACAAUAUUAUUAUAUUAAGUAACCAAUACUGAAUUUUUAAUUAUAACAUACCAGAAAGAAAGAAGCUUUCCACUGGUUGUAAGUUUCUUAGGACAAAUGAGAAAUUAAACUGGCAUUUACGAAGAAAGGAAAUGAAAAUAAUCAGAAACGUAAAUAUAAAAGCAUUAACCAAGAAACUAAAAAACUUCCUACCAUGUUGAAAGUUCCUUAGUACAAAUGAAAAACUAAACUGGCAUAUCAUUUUAUGAGGAAAUAACAUGGAAUGAAUCAGAAAUGUAAAUAUAUAAGCAUUUAACCAAGAAACUAAAAAGCCUCCUACCAAGUUGAAAGUUCCUUAGUACAAAUGAAAAACUAAACUAGCAUAUUAUUUUAUUAGGAAAUGAUAUGAAAUGAGUCAGAAAUGUAAGUAUGUAAGCAUUUAACCAAGAAAAAACUGUUCACCAAGUUUUAAACUGUCAUGUUAUUUUAUGAGGAAAGGAAAUGAAAUGAAUCAGAAAAGUAAAUAUAAAAGCAUUUAACCAAAA